rnacentral:sRNA from 1 species
UGAAGGUGUAAGUGUAAAGUGAAGCAUCUCUCGAUGAUUCUUUCCAAGAUAGGUUUAAAAACUAUGAAUCCAUUUUCAGUGUUUCUUCUCUCUGUUUGAAACAGUUUGAGGAUGUGUUUCUUUUUCUUGGCUUGAUGUUUGGUAGGUCCUUGAAUGGGCAAGAGGGCACAUGAAGUACGGCGUCCUCCACAUUCACGGCCUCUACACGGACCCCUGCGGGGUGGUGCUGGACCCAUCGGGGUAUAAAGACGUCACUCAAGACGCAGAAGUCAUGGAAGUCCUCCAGAACUUAUACCGCACCAAGUCCUUUCUGUUUGUGGGCUGUGGGGAGACCCUUCGUGAUCAGAUAUUCCAGGCCCUCUUUCUUUACUCCGUGCCGAAUAAGGUGGAUUUGGAGCACUACAUGCUUGUGCUGAAGGAGAAUGAAGACCAUUUCUUUAAGCAUCAGGCAGAUAUGCUUCUGCACGGAAUCAAAGUUGUAUCCUACGGGGACUGUUUUGACCACUUUCCAGGAUAUGUGCAAGACCUUGCCACUCAGAUCUGCAAACAGCAAAGCCCAGAUGCUGAUCGCGUGGACAGCACCACAUUAUUGGGUAAUGCAUGCCAGGACUGUGCAAAGAGGAAGUUAGAAGAGAAUGGAAUUGAAGUUUCCAAAAAACGCACACAAUCAGAUACU